UACGGGGGGGGGCAAGCGUUGUCGUGAAUUACUGGGCGUAAAGGGCUCGUAGGCGGCCAACUAAGUCGGACGUGAAAUCCCUCGGCUCAACCGAGGAACUGCGUCCGAUACUGGCGAGGCUUGAAUUCGGGAGAGGGAUGUGGAAUUCCAGGUGUAGCGGUGAAAUGCGUAGAUAUCUGGAGGAACACCGGUGGCGAAGGCGGCAUCCUGGACCAACACUGACACUGAGGAGCGAAAGCCAGGGGAGCAAACGGGG
rnacentral:rRNA from 1 species